UACGAAGGGAGCUAGCGUUGUUCGGAAUCACUGGGCGUAAAGCGCACGUAGGCGGAUGUGUCAGUCAGGGGUGAAAUCCCGGAGCUCAACUUCGGAACUGCCUCUGAUACAGCACGUCUUGAGUCCGGAAGAGGUGGGUGGAAUUCCUAGUGUAGAGGUGAAAUUCGUAGAUAUUAGGAAGAACACCGGUGGCGAAGGCGGCCCACUGGUCCGGUACUGACGCUGAGGCGCGAAGGCGUGGGGAGCGAACGGG
rnacentral:rRNA from 1 species